rnacentral:rRNA from 1 species
ACGGGAAGGCAGCAGGUGGGGAAUAUUGCACAAUGGGCGAAAGCCUGAUGCAGCUAUGCCGCGUGUAUGAAGAAGGCCUUAGGGUUGUAAAGUACUUUCAUCGGGGAGGAAAAAACAAAACUAAUAAUUUUAUUUCUUGACGUUACCCGAAAAAGAAGCACCGGCUAACUCCGUGCCAGCAGCCGCGGUAAUACGGAGGGUGCUAGCGUUAAUCAGAAUUACUGGGCGUAAAGAGCACGUAGGUGGUUUUUUAAGUCAGAUGUGAAAUCCCUGGGCUUUAACCUAGGAACUGCAUUUUGAAACUGAAAUACUAGAGUAUCGUAGAGGGAGGUAGAAUUCUAGGUGUAGCGGUGAAAUGCGUAGAUAUCUGGAGGAAUACCUGUGGCGAAAGCGGCCUCCUAAACGAAUACUGACACUGAGGGUGCGAAAGCGUGGGGAGCAAACAGGGAUUAGAUACC